rfam:Listeria monocytogenes EGD-e, complete genome
ACAGAGUGGGAAUAGAAAGCUAACAUAAUAAGAAUAGGAAUAUCAAUAAAUCAACGUUUUUCAACUUAUGAAAUGCUUGAUUUUCAUUAAAAAUGAUAUAUUUCCCUACCACAAAUCCCUGUCAAGAUGAUGCUUGACAGGGAUUUGUUU